CAUUGUGUUGGCAGAUAGCCUGGGGAUGGGGUGACUCGUCUGGCCAUCCUAACUUCAGGAGUACUUCUAUUACCAGCCCCUGCAUUUCUUGUUAGAGUACAUAGUUUUCCCUCUUACUCCCAGGACUUUCAAGAAAUCUCCCUCCUAAAAGUGCUGGGACCUGAAAGAAAGUAUAGACUGUGGAGUUUGGGGAGUAGAAGGAGGAUAUUGCCAUACAAGGAAAGACAAUGUAAAAAAAAUGGAUUCUAUCAGGAAAGACAAAAGCUGAGUAGAGAUGUUAUUGAUGUCUGAAGAACUUGUGGAUGGAAUGGAUGGGCCAAGUUGGUGCUGUCAUCUACUGGAUUUGUCUUUCAUCUAGUAAAGGGAGAGUGAAGCCCCAACAUCUAGAUUUUGUGGCUGGUUCAGCAUCAAUGCCCUGAAGAGCAAAGAGUAACCUUUAGGACCCAGGCCAGUAGUUACUGAGACAAGGAUCCCUCCCCCAGUUAUGGUGUAUCUGAACAUGAACUUGGUGGGACCAAUGCUAUGGGCACUGACCAAAUGUAUAUGUGAACUAAACGCAAAUAUUUCCCUGACUGAGAAGGUAAAAGGCCUAGAAGAAUGCCUCUAUACUCCGGCUAAUUAGAGAGAAUGAAGAUUUGCUAGAGGGUGAAAGAAAUAAUCAUUGACAGAAUCCAGGAGGGAAAUGAUUGGGAGGUAGCAAUGAAAUUGAAUGCAGUAUCAAGAGGUUGAUAAGUGGAAGAAUGUAACACAGAGGAUGAAAAACAGAGAAGAACCUGUGCACUGGAGCUAUGUGACAAGCAUGAGGUUAUUUUCAUAGAGGUUGAAUCUCAGCCUUCUAAAGAAACAGUAUCCCUUGCUCCUGAGAACAAUAAGAACAACCCAGGUGUAAAUAAAACUGUUAAUUAGCCCUAAGAGAAAUAAGUGCAUCUUGAAUGGUUGAUGACUCUCUUCUGAGGAUUACAGAAGCAGCUAUAUGCAGGUCGGACUAACCAACAGGAAGAUGAGCUGCUUUCCUGAGGCAGGCAUCUGAGGUAUGAUGGAGAGCCUGCCAAGACCUAUCAAAUUCCACUGACUCAUACCCAUUUCUUCUGAUUCAUGUGAGAAUGAAUGAUACCACUAGGGGAAAAAACCUAGAAAGCAUCUGUCUAGGGUAAAAAAACAAAACAAAACAAAAACCCCUUAGCUAAGCUAAAUGAUUUAAAGCCAAAAGUGAAAUUUGUAGCUCUUUUACCAAUUAAAGUUAGUGAAUUUUGGAAAGAUUAGGACAUUUUAGAAAGUGAACAGAAUAUUAUGUAGAUUGUGACAGGGAGCAGGAUUUAGUUUUCUAGCUCCUGGUAUAUUUUACUGAAAUAAUGGAAUCAGGGAGGGAAGGAGUACAUUUCGUGAGUAUUAGGAUGAACAUGCUUGGUGAAAGAAAAAGCAUUUAAAAAUGAAAAUAGAGUGAGAAAAAGUACCCAGCUAAAAAUGUUUAGCCAAGUACUAUAGAAAGUAGGUAAGUGAAUGAAACAAUUAAUAGGACAAAUAACUUAGAAAACAUUAGAGGGUAUCUAUGGCCUUAUCUAUCAAGAGCAGGGAAAGCUGGUUUUGGAGCUGAAAUAUCUGAGUUCAAAUCACAACUCUACUAUAUACUAUUUGUAUGACCUUUGACAAAUUAGCUAAACUUCCUGGGCCUCAGUUUCCUCAUCUGUAAAAAUGAAGUAGCUAGACUAGAUAGUAGUAUAUAGCACAGAUAUAGAAUACACACACACACACACACACACACGCACACACACACAC